rnacentral:tRNA from 1 species
GCCAGCAUAGCUUAGUGGUAGAGCGUUGCACUUGUACUACCAUGACAUGCAAAGGUCGCUAGUUCAAUUCUGGCUGUUGGCA